rnacentral:lncRNA from 1 species
CGGUUUGCGGAUGGAUUUCUGCCAAACCUUUUCGAAAAUGAAAAGAAUGUUCAUAGUAUGAUUCUUAAACCCUAUUCAUGGGUAGAGCCAGAGCCAAAUUUAAAUAAUUUGGAAGAGAGUUGUUAUGUGAAUUUUUUAUCAGUACAGAUUACUUCACAACUUUCGAUUCGUUGUAGAAGUGUUAUGUAAAGAGAAUACUUAUAUUCUUUCAGCUUAUAUAUAUAAUUGCUAUUACUUGCUGGGCACUCAAAUGCUCAUCCUUGCUUAAAUUAAAUGUUUUUAGUUACGUAUGAGCAACCUGAAGGUUCAGGCACGCAUAAAGGGAAAGAAAAGCUGUUUGAAUGA